CAAUGCGAGGGCUGCAUCCCAGGACCCUGAGAUCAUGACCUGAGCUGAAGGCAGAGGCUUUAACCCACUGAGCCACCCAGGAGCCCCAGAAGCAGUACAGUUUUGAUCUGACACCUGAAAAACCUGAAUAUGAAGCAGCGGUUGAAACUGCGGAGGUGAUGGCUAAUGGCAGAUAAGGACUGAGGUGUCCCGGCAGACUGAGAAUUAGUUCUCAGUUCUGUACCUUCCUUGGCUCCUCAACGCAGAACAGGGAUGAAGUUCUUCGGCCCCCAAG
rnacentral:lncRNA from 1 species